rnacentral:precursor_RNA from 1 species
GCAGUGCGAGCGCGGCGCGCGCGGCGGCCACACGCGCGCCGGGCUCGCGCUCGCG